AUUUCCUUUUCACACAUAAAACUCCUGAUAAGAGAAGAAAUUCAGAUUUUUGCAUAUGAACUAAUGAUAGAGGUGAAGAUUCAAAGAAUUAAAGGCUUGUGUUAGCUUGCUUAAAAUCAGAUUUUUUUUUUUCUUAAGGAAAGUAAUUGUCAGACUUGUUAGGUAGCAAAAACAUUUUGAACUCUCCUGGCACCAAAAGUGUUUGAAGUUCACUUUUCUGUGGAAUACCUUUGCAAUUAGUUGAGGAAGAUUAACUAGUUACAUUGACACUUAUUUGCCCUUAGAGAUCAGCUAGCUAAUUUAUACUUAUUCAUUACUCACUUGUUCACUGCUUAAAAAAAAAAAAAAAGUUUUGGAAUAGUCUGUAAGACCUCAAGCCCAUUGAUGUUAUUAUUAAAAAUCAUAUUUUAAUAUACUUUAAAGCAAAGUGAUAACGUAUAACAUGCAUAGCUCAGUCAUUCAUUCAUCAGAUAUUUAUUGAACACUUGCCAUAUACCAAGCACUGUUCUGUACUCUAGGAUUAUAUCAGCACACAGAACAGGCAAAAUUGCUUACCCUUAUGGAGUUCACAUUGUAAGGUUACACUGGAAAUAAAAUGAUGUAUAGGACAAACAUGGUCUCUACAAGGUCUAGAUGGAAAUACCCAGGUAUUUAAAGUCUAGCUAGAAAUAAAGGCCAUUGGGGGAUGGGCCAGAUGGCAAGUGGAAAGGUAGAAGUGUAGGUUCCUGCAAGGGACAUCUAACUGUGACUCAGGUGGGUCUAGCAAAGUUUCACAAAUGAAAUUAUUUUAGUGGAAAUAAUUUAGGUGAAGAAAGGGGCAGGGACAACAAAUAUUCAGACAAAGGAAGAACACGCAUGUAAAAAGGCCAGGGAAAAAGAGUAGUGUGGCAAGUUCAGGGAACUGACACUAGUUCGUUCUGGCUAGAGUGUACAUGGUGUUUGAGUUAAGGAAUGGGAUGGUAGAUGAGGCUAGAUGAGUGAAGCAGGGUCAUGUCACCAAUGUCCUGUAAAGUAAGUAAUAGUAAGGAGUUUGAGAUUUAUAUAGUGAGAAACCAUUAAAGCAGGGAGUGGGUGAUACGUAAUAUUUGAAGGAAAAAUAUCAAGAGAAGAUAAUUUUAAGGAAUAAGGUGGGGUUUUUUUAAGUGGAUUCAAUAUUCUUCUCUGCGUAAUCCUUUAAAACUGGGUUUAGAACAAUAUUAGGCACAUCCACAAAACCAAUUUAGAUCUUAAAAAUGAAUCGUGGUCUGAUACCAUUGGUUAUUCCAAUAGGAUUUAGAGAAGAUUUACACUUCUGUAUAUUUAAAGUUUUGUUAGUGGUGUUAAAUACCUGAAAGCAGAACACCACUUUAUCCCCACAUCGUCACAACUAUUUUAAGCCCAAGAAGCCUUAGUACUUUCUUUUCACUGUGUCCUGAUACAGCAGAGGGGUUGCUGUUGUUACCAGCUAUACUUGCACUCUGCUUAAAGCCAUACAAAUGCUUGGAACUCUUCCCCAAACAAAAUGCUAGUUAUUGCACUUUAGGGUAAGCUCAGACAUUACCGUGAAAUGAGUGCUGCUGUUCUGGGGAAGAAAGCCUGCCCUCAAAGAAUUAGAUUACUGGUAAGGACCAGUGAUAGAGAGUGGGGGGGGGCGGGAAGAGUUUAAAGUCUUUAAUGUUGCAGGUUAUGCUUUUUAAGAGUGUAUAGAAGUAUUCAGUUGCAGAACUUGACAAAUCAUCCAAUUCCAUGCUAAUUCAGAAGCUAUUUCUGAGAAGUAGAACCAGGUUAUAAUAGCAGUGUUAGUAGCAGUAGUAGUAACUGAAAACAGUAGUCAUUUAGGAAGGGCUCUACUUGUCCCCAGGCACUCCUCUAGACACCUCAUAUGUAAUGUUACAGUCCUCAUACCUGUGAGGGUGGGUACCAUUAUCCACAUUUUACAAAUGAGGAAACAGAAGCACUAGUCACAAGGCUAGCAAAUGUAUUUUAUUUUUAAAUAAUUAGAAGGUUUUAAUACAUCAAGCUACAGUAGCAGAAAGUCUAUAGUUUUUAAAAUAUCAAUAAAAGUUCUUAGAAGGUAAAAAUGGUCUUUCAGGGUUUUUGUUGUUGUUUGGUUGGAGGGAUGGGGGUUGGGUGUUUUUCUUUUUACCAUUAAUUCCCCCAAAGUGACAUAGGUAGAGGUCAGUGGUGAACAAAGGUUAAUUAUACUAGUAAAUUUGAAAGUAAAAUUCCAUAGUUAGAGGCUUUAAAAACACGUGUGUAUAAACACACUGAUGUGGGGAAAGAGAGGUUUUUUUUUGUUUUUAAUCUUCAGAAAUGUGUAUAUUUAACCACUGCUGAGGAACUGAGUUCACUGAGCAAGAGAUGCUAAGAAAUGUGUUCCUAACUUUAUAGUAAAACCUGAAUUAGAAAUUAGUUCUUUUUGUCAUUAAAACCCUAUUAUCUAUCAGAGAAACAUUUGCUUUUAAUUUUU